rnacentral:pre_miRNA from 1 species
UUUUUCUCGUUCCCUUGUCAUUCUCCCGCCCGGUGGUAAAUGACAACUGGACGGAGAACUGAUAAGGGCUCGAGGAGAC